rnacentral:lncRNA from 1 species
AAAAAAAGAAAAGUUUGGCUUCACAAGGAUUAAAGCAACACAAAUAACUAUAAAGUUUCAUUAACUAUUCCCGAUAAAUUGACAAAAUCAAGCUCACAGUGGUAGACAGCUGAUUCUCAGUGGAAAAGGACAAAGGAUCCGUCAGACAUGUCUGGUGAUACUGUAAAUCAGCAUAACCUUUGAUGGGACACAGUCACGCAAAAUGUGACAACCAUAAAAUUCUGACCAGCAAUUCCACUUUUGAAAACAGCCCCAAAGAGACAGGACAAAGCCAUGUAGGAAGUGCCUUUUGCCUCCCACCAUGAUUCUGAGGCCUCCCCAGCCAUUGGAACUGAGGAGGAGAGACACCAGGGUUGUGUGGGCACAGAGGGAUGACCAUGUGAAGAGGCAGCAAAAGGAAGGCCACCUGCAAACCAGCCCUGCUGCCACCUUGACACUGGACUUCCAGCCUCCAGAACCGUGAGAAAAUAAAUUUCUGUUGCUUAAGCCACCCAGUCUGAGGUAUUUUGUUAUGGCAGCCCAAGCACACGAAUACGCUACAUGACGCCUUCCCCACCUUCCCACUACCAGACCAGUGUCUCUGCUCUUAAUAUUGUUUUAAACUUAAGAUAUAAUCAAACAAAUGGAUCUUAGAUCUACA